rnacentral:rRNA from 1 species
CCCUUAGAUGUUCUGGGCCGCACGCGCGCUACACUGAUGCAUUCAACGAGCCUAUCCUUGACCGACAGGUCCGGGUAAUCUUUGAAUCUGCAUCGUGACGGGGAUAGAUUAUUGCAAUAUUAAUCUUCAACGAGGAAUGCCUAGUAGGCGCAAGUCAUCAGCUUGCGUCGAUUACAUCCCUGCCCUUUGUACACACCGCCCGUCGCUCCUACCGAUUGGGUGUGCUGGUGAAAUGUUCGGAUCGGCCGUUUGUCGCGGUUUCCGCGUCAUGUGGCUGAGAAGUUCAUUAAACCCUCCCACCUAGAGGAAGGAGAAGUCGUAACA